UCCAGUAUAGUUUAGUGGUUUGAGUGCUGGAUUAGGACUCUAGGAAAUGAGGGUUCAAAUCCCUGCUGAAC